UUUUUGAAUGAAAGGGCAGUGGAACUCCAUGUGUAGCGGUGAAAUGCGUAGAUAUAUCGGGCCAAAGAAUCACCAAGUGGCGAAGGCGGCUUUCUGGACUGUAACUGACGUUGAGGCUCUGAAAGUGUGGGUAGCAAACAGGAUUAGAUACCCUGGUAGUUCACACCGUAAACGAUGAGUGCUAGGUGUUUGAGGGUUUCCGCCCUUAAGUGCCGCAGCUAACGCAUUAAGCACUCCGCCUGGGGAGUACGACCGCAAGGUUGAAACUCAAAGGAAUUGACGGGGACCCGCACAAGCGGUGGAGCAUGUGGUUUAAUUUGAAGCAACGCGAAGAACCUUACCAGGUCUUGACAUCCCUUGACAACUCCAGAGAUGGAGUGUUCCCUUCGGGGACAAGGUGACAGGUGGUGCAUGGUUGUUGUCAGCUCGUGUCGUGAGAUGUUGGGUUAAGUCCCGCAACGAGCGCAACCCUUAUUUCUAGUUGCCAGCAUUCAGUUGGGCACUCUAGUGAGACUGCCGGUGACAAACCGGAGGAAGGUGGGGAUGACGUCAAAUCAUCAUGCCCCUUAUGACCUGGGCUACACACGUGCUACAAUGGCGUAUACAACGAGUUGCCAACCCGCGAGGGUGAGCUAAUCUCUUAAAGUACGUCUCAGUUCGGAUUGUAGGCUGCAACUCGCCUACCUGAAGUCGGAAUCGCUAGUAAUCGCGGAUCGAAGCACGCUUUGGCCUUGGUGAAUACGUUCCCGGGUCUUGUACACACCGCCCGUCACACCAUGGGUAUUUUUGUUAAAAAA
rnacentral:rRNA from 1 species